ensembl:snoRNA
AGGUCAUUUCAAAGAGGGCUCAUGCAGCUAUGAAUCCAGGAGCUCUUAACUAUAUGAUCAAAGCUUGAAAUUUCUUCAUAGGUUGCUACAGUCACACAAUAGUGUGAAGUUUUUUUUGAGGAGAUAUAAGA